AUUGAACGCUGGCGGCAGGCCUAACACAUGCAAGUCGAACGAGUGGCGGACGGGUGAGUAAUGUCUGGGAAACUGCCUGGUGGAGGGGGAUAACUACUGGAAACGGUAGCUAAUACCACAUACCAUCAGAUGUGCCCAGAUGGGAUUAGCUUGUGGGUGGGGUAACGGCUCACCAAGGCGACGAUCCCGAGCUGUUCUGAGAGGAUGACCAGCCACACGGGAACUGAGACACGGCCCGGACUCCUACGGGAGGCAGCAGGGGGGAAUAUUGCACAAUGGGCGAAAUCCUGAUGCGGCCAUGCGGCGUGUAGGAAGAAGGCCUUGGGGUUGUAAAGUACUUUCAGCGGGGAGACGUUACCCGCAGAAGAAGCACCGGCUAACUCCGUGCCAGCCGCCGCGGUAAUAC
rnacentral:rRNA from 1 species